AAUAGUUCCUGGAGUCCCAAGUUAUCGUAGGGACAUGUGCCUUUGGAGUCAUGAACUGCUGUGAAAAGAAGUCUGGUGACCUUGAAGCUACCAUGUGGAGAGACUUCAUGGAGAGACCCGUUCGGAGAGGAGAGGCUGCUAGCCAAGCAGGGAUCAAAUACCUGACAUGUAAGCAUGCCAGCCUUUAGAUGGUUCCAGUCCCCUGUCUUUGAGUCUUUCAUCUGAGACCCAAGGCAUCAUAAAGCAUAGAUAAGUCAUUUCUAUUUUGCCCUAUUUGAAUUCCUGACCUUUGUUGAUAAAACCAUCAACAAAAUAAAUGGUUGUUUCUUGUCACUACGUUUUGGAGUUAUACUCUGUGGUCAUAGUACCUGGAACAACACUUCCUACCUGAAAUUCAGGCCCAACUUUUCAGGCUCUCAGAAGGGAAAAAUAGCAUCCUAAAGAAGAUACACAUUCUGUAUAUUUGUCUUAUCGCCAGCGAUGAGUAUAUUGCCAUUGACAUUUCAUGAGGAGCAUUUAAGUACCUCAAUAUCUCACACCUUUCUAUGCCAUUAUGGAUUCUUUACUUAUUUUUGCCUAGCCAAAUCUUGUGUUAAAUUGUCUUAUCCUAAAACAAAGAUCCAGUCUUCUCUUAGAGGUGAAUCAAAUCCUUAAUAUCUAGAGAAUCAGCAAAACUAUUUACUGCUUUAAAAAUGGCAUUUUUUUCUCUUGUCUCAAAAAUAUGAAGGUCAAAGCUCAAACUAAAGACCUGAUAAUUUCUAUCAUACUUGAGAGGAUGGAGUUGGAAGAGGUCAAGGAAUCAGCUCACUUUAAGACAGGUAGCCUCUCUUUCUUGCUGUCAAUCUGAGGGUUUGCUAACAGGGAGAGGUGGGAUAUGUUCAGAAGAGACUUACCUUAUUCCAUAUUAAGAAAAUACAGGUCUGACACUUCUGAUAGCAACCUACCCCAAAUUAACGGGAAGUUGUGAUUUGCCUUGUAAUAAAAUAAGAAUGAUGAAAUUCAGCAAACAACUCAUAUUCUUCAACUAAAUUACUCCUAAAGGGUAUUUGCCAUUGGCAAAGCUUUAAAUUUAAAAUGUAGUUUCUGGGGAAUUUUUUUUUAUUUUUUCAGCAGUGGAUUGUCACCUUGUCAUCUGUCUUUUAAACCACUUUCCUUUGAGUAGUUUCUGAGAUCGCAGAAAGUACUAUUUAAAUUGUUUGUUUUUGUUUGUCUUACUCUCAAAAGUAGGACCCUGGGGGCAGUUGGAAGAAAGAAAAGGAAAAAAAGCUAUGUAUCAUAUUCUAUUAAAUCACCAGGUCAUCUGUUUUUGGCAACAGUAAUACCAUCUGAGCGCUUAGAAAUGGGGUUAAUAAAUACCCUAUGUGACACCAGCUGCCUAGCCAGAUUUGCUCCAGGGACCAAUGCUCAGAGUUUGAGAACCUCUGCAGGACUCCUUCCUAUACAUUUGAUGGAAGGAUGCCCAGUGACUUCAUGAUGCCCUUCAGGAAUUGGCCUGUGGUGGAGUUGAGAGGCUGUCCUCUGGGAAUUAUAGUCUCAUCCUGUCCUUCAAUAUUGGCCUUCCCCCAGGGUCACAGCCCAAGAGGACCUUUCCUUGCCUGCCAGCCUCCUUUGCUUCUGCAGAGUGUGAGCCAUUUUAUUAAGCAUGCAGUUCUCUGUUU
ensembl:lncRNA